rnacentral:rRNA from 1 species
AUUGAACGCUGGCGGCAUGCCUUACACAUGCAAGUCGAACGGCAGCACGGGAGCAAUCCUGGUGGCGAGUGGCGAACGGGUGAGUAAUAUAUCGGAACGUGCCCAGUCUGGGGAUAACGUAGCGAAAGCUACGCUAAUACCGCAUACGAUCUAUGGAUGAAAGCGGGGGAUCGCAAGACCUCGCGCGAUUGGAGCGGCUGAUAUCAGAUUAGGUAGUUGGUGAGGUAAGGACGUCACCAAGCCGACGAUCUGUAGCUGGUCUGAGAGGACGACCAGCCACACUGGGACUGAGACACGGCCCAGACUCCUACGGGAGGCAGCAGUGGGGAAUUUUUGGACAAUGGGCGC